rnacentral:rRNA from 1 species
CACGUAGGGACCAAGCGUUGUCCGGAUUCAUUGGGCGUAAAGAGCUCGUAGGCGGUUCAGUAAGUCGGGUGUGAAACCUCCAGGCUCAACCUGGAGACGCCACCCGAUACUGCUGUGACUAGAGUCCAGUAGGGGAGCGUGGAAUUCCUGGUGUAGCGGUGAAAUGCGCAGAUAUCAGGAGGAACACCAGCGGCGAAGGCGGCGCUCUGGGCUGGAACUGACGCUGAGGAGCGAAAGCGUGGGGAGCGAUCCGG